rnacentral:lncRNA from 1 species
UUUCGUCUCCUAAGAACGACUUAAGCGACGAAAUUUCAUUCCGUCGCUUAAGUACUAUUUAGGAGAUGGAAUAUUUUUACUUAGACGACGGCAUUUUGAAAAAAUAAAAUUAAAAAAUUUAUAUGAAUCACUUAGGAGACGGAACUACAUUCUGUAGCCUAAGUAGAACUUAGGAGACGGAAAUGUUUACUUAGGAGACGGAAUGUUUUUUUUUUUUAAAAACAAUUUAUGAAUCACUUAGACGACGGAAAUAGAACAUUCUGUCGCUUAAGUUCUAAAAAUUUGAGCGCCCAUCUUCCUGUGUAAAAUUUCAUGAAAAUUGAAACCAAAAUUUUUCAAAACAUAUCAAUUCUUUUAAAUCACACACACUCACCAACCUUAUCAAUAGAAGGAAACCCAUCUUUUCCUAGAGCUUCAUCUCUCUCUCUCUCU